UGGGUUGUAGCUCAGUGAUAGAGCGCUUGCCUAACAUGCGUGAGACACUGGGUUUGAUUCUCAGCAAUGCAU
rnacentral:tRNA from 1 species